AUUGAACGCUGGCGGCAGGCCUAACACAUGCAAGUCGGACGGUAGCACAGAGGAGCUUGCUCCUUGGGUGACGAGUGGCGGACGGGUGAGUAAUGUCUGGGGAUCUGCCCGAUAGAGGGGGAUAACCACUGGAAACGGUGGCUAAUACCGCAUAACGUCGCAAGACCAAAGAGGGGGACCUUCGGGCCUCUCACUAUCGGAUGAACCCAGAUGGGAUUAGCUAGUAGGCGGGGUAAUGGCCCACCUAGGCGACGAUCCCUAGCUGGUCUGAGAGGAUGACCAGCCAAACUGGAACUGGGACACGGUCCAGACUCCUACGGGAGGCAGCAGUGGGGAAUAUUGCACAAGGGGCGCAAGCCUGAUGCAGCCAUGCCGCGUGUAUGAAGAAGGCCUUCGGGUUGUAAAGGACUUGCAGCGGGGAGGAAGGCGGUGAGGUUAAUAACCUCGCCGAUUGACGUUACCCGCAGAAGAAGCACCGGCUAACUCCGUGCCAGCAGCCGCCGUAA
rnacentral:rRNA from 1 species